rnacentral:lncRNA from 1 species
UGACUCGUAUCAUUCCCCCCUUCCUCAAAAAGAUUCGUCCUCGAAUCUAAAAAAUCAAAUGAACUCGACUUUCCUCUAUCGAACGGGACUAAUGGCAAUUGAGUCCACUGAGAAGAAUAGCCAUGAGAUAGUAAAUAGCAACGGAAAUAAGCUUGUAGUCCAAUCAUAAGCAUAAUAGAACAGGUAUAAUGCAAGUGAAUGGACAGAUUCAGAUUACCAUGCAAACAAUCUAAUUUACUCACCACUGCCUCGUCAAAUAUUUGAAACAAAGAUGGACAUAUUUUAAGGCAUUCAGUCGUCUCACAUUGUUCUCACAAACCAUGAAUAAAUUACGAGUAAUAAAUCAAAUGGUAAACAUAAUCGUCACAAGUAGGUAUUUGAAAAGAUUCACA